ACGCUGCAGGCGGUGUUCGAGCGCGUGGCCGCGCUGGCGCCCGGCCGCUACUUGCUGCAGCACCUGCCCAAGCACCACACCUUCGUCGCGGUGCUGCAGCAGGCCGACGAGGGGGGCGACGCGUUCGACCUACACGCGGAAAUGGACCACACCAAGACGAACGCGCCCCAUGAGUGGACGCCGCUGGACCCCCACUUCCAGCUGCCGCAGUUCCGCGCGCUCAACCGCAUGCCCUGCAUGUUCACCCCGAAGCCCACCGCGCCCAAGGCGCCCCCCAAACAGAACCCGUAGCAAUUACAAAACGUUUUAUUCUGG
rnacentral:lncRNA from 1 species